CUUGUCGGGUAAGUUCCGACCUGCACGAAUGGCGUAAUGAUGGCCAGGCUGUCUCCACCCGAGACUCAGUGAAAUUGAACUCGCUGUGAAGAUGCAGUGUACCCGCGGCAAGACGGAAAGACCCCGUGAACCUUUACUAUAGCUUGACACUGAACAUUGAGCCUUGAUGUGUAGGAUAGGUGGGAGGCUUUGAAGCGUGGACGCCAGUCUGCGUGGAGCCAUCCUUGAAAUACCACCCUUUAAUGUUUGAUGUUCUAACUCGGCCCCAUAAUCUGGGGUGAGGACAGUGUCUGGUGGGUAGUUUGACUGGGGCGGUCUCCUCCCAAAGAGUAACGGAGGAGCACGAAGGUUAGCUAAUCACGGUCGGACAUCGUGAGGUUAGUGCAAAGGCAUAAGCUAGCUUGACUGCGAGAGUGACAGGUCGAGCAGGUACGAAAGUAGGUCUUAGUGAUCCGGUGGUUCUGAAUGGAAGGGCCAUCGCUCAACGGAUAAAAGGUACUCCGGGGAUAACAGGCUGAUACCGCCCAAGAGUUCAUAUCGACGGCGGUGUUUGGCACCUCGAUGUCGGCUCAUCACAUCCUGGGGCUGAAGUAGGUCCCAAGGGUAUGGCUGUUCGCCAUUUAAAGUGGUACGCGAGCUGGGUUUAGAACGUCGUGAGACAGUUCGGUCCCUAUCUGCCGUGGGCGUUGGAGAUUUGAGAGGGGCUGCUCCUAGUACGAGAGGACCGGAGUGGACGAACCUCUGGUGUUCCGGUUGUCACGCCAGUGGCAUUGCCGGGUAGCUAUGUUCGGAAUAGAUAACCGCUGAAAGCAUCUAAGCGGGAAACUAGCCUCAAGAUGAGAUCUCACUGGGACCUU
rnacentral:rRNA from 1 species